rnacentral:rRNA from 1 species
CACGUAGGGCGCAAGCGUUGUCCGGAAUUAUUGGGCGUAAAGAGCUCGUAGGCGGUCUGUUGCGUCCGCUGUGAAAACUCGGGGCUUAACCCCGAGCCUGCAGUGGAUACGGGCAGACUAGAGGUAGGUAGGGGAGAAUGGAAUUCCUGGUGUAGCGGUGAAAUGCGCAGAUAUCAGGAGGAACACCAAUGGCGAAGGCAGCUCGCUGGGACGUGACUGACGCUGAGACGCGAAAGCGUGGGGAGCAAACAGG